GCUUACGGCCAUACCGUCCUUAACCAAUCUCGUCUGAUCUUGGAAGCUAAUCAGGGUCGGGCCUGUUUAGUACUUGGAUGGGAAACCAGCUGGGGAUACCUGUUGCUGUAAGCU
rnacentral:rRNA from 1 species